AUGCCUUUUCUCUCUCUUUGUCCUUCUCCCUCCAUCUCUCUCUCUUUGUCCUUCUCCCUCCAUCUCUCUUUCUUUGUCCUUCUCUCUCCAUCUCUCUCUUUGUCCUUCUCCCUCCAUCUCUCUCUCUCUCUUUGUCCUUCUCCCUCCAUCUCCCUCUCUUUGUCCUUCUCUCUCCAUCUCUCUCUCUUUGUCCUUCUCCCUCCAUCUCUCUCUCUUUGUCCUUCUCCCUCCAUCUAUCUCUCUCUCUUUGUCCAUCUCCCUCUCUUUGUCCUUCUCUCUCCAUCUCUCUCUCUUUGUCCUUCUCCCUCCAUCUCUCUCUCUUUGUCCUUCUCCCUCCAUCUCUCUCUCUUUGUCCUUCUCCCUCCAUCUAUCUCUCUCUCUUUGUCCAUCUCCCUCUCUUUGUCCUUCUCUCUCCAUCUCUCUCUCUUUGUCCUUCUCCCUCCAUCUCUCUCUCUUUGUCCUUCUCCCUCCAUCUCCCUCUCUUUGUCCUUCUCUCUCCAUCUCUCUCUCUCUCUCUCUUUGUCCUUCUCCCUCCAUCUCCCUCUCUUUGUCCUUCUCCCUCCAUCUCUCUCUGGCUUCUCUCCAUCUCUCUCUCUCUUUGUCUUUCUCCCUCAUCUCUCUAUAUUCUUCUCCCUCCAUCUCUCUCUUUAUUCUUCUCCCUCCAUCUCUCUCUCUUUAUUCUUCUCCCUCCAUCUCUCUCUUUGUCCUUCUCCCUAUCUUUGUCCUUCUCUCUCUCUCUCUCUCUCUUUGUCCUUCUCCCUCCCUCUCUCUAUCCUUGUCCUUCUCCCUCCAUCUCUCUGUCUUUCUCCCUCCAUCUCUCUCUCUUUAAUCUUCUCCCUCCAUCUCUCUCUUUGUCCUUCUCCCUCCAUCUCUCUCUUUUCCUUCUCUCUUUCACUGGUCAACAACCUCUUUCCCUUUCUUAAUCACUCUGUCACUUCCAUGACACCUACUUCCCUUGGGCUAAAGGAGAUCCUAAUCAAAUGUAAAUCAAGCCCUCUCCCUCCCCUCUCUCACUGA
rnacentral:lncRNA from 1 species